UACGGAGGGCGCAAGCGUUGUUCGGAAUUACUGGGCGUAAAGCGCGUGUAGGCGGCUUGGAAAGUCGGGUGUGAAAGCCCGGGGCUCAACUCCGGAACUGCAUCCGAUACUGCCAAGCUCGAGUGCCGGAGAGGAUGGCGGAAUUUCCGGUGUAGAGGUGAAAUUCGUAGAUAUCGGAAGGAACACCAGAGGCGAAGGCGGCGCACUGGACUGUGACUGACGCUGAGACCCGAAAGCGUGGGGAGCAAACAGG
rnacentral:rRNA from 1 species